CCACAUGAGUACCCAUUUUUUCUGGCAUAUUCGAUGAGGUGUGAACAUGCAAGUACAUGCAGGACCUCCCACCCAAAAGGUAUAUUUUAUGGUACACCCGAACCUGUCAAUUUAUGUAGCUGGAUGACACCGGAUUGUCCUGUAGGUGGUGUUUGCGACACAGUGUUAUCAUCGUUGAGGCCAGUACUAAUCUUUCUCUUUUCACGGGAUAGGCGUUGUCGUUUUAAUAUCUCAUCCCUAUUUUGUGCAUACCGCUCCCUGUUCCUUUGCCUCCUCAACUCCUUAGGGUCUGCAUAUAUGUGUAAUAAAGUUAAUUAGUAUGAACACAUAGGGUUGUAUAUACUUUGUUGAUCAGCAUUACCGAUGUACAUGGGCACCGGUGUAACUGUUUCAUUUUCUUGUUCAUUGACAUCGCCAUCCACACCGGUCAUUUCAAUAUCACUAUAGGCUUGAUGUUGUCUCUCGAAGACACCAUCCAUGUUCUGUGAAUACUGUAUCCCAACCAGUUGGCUCUGCAGUUCGUUAGGGUCCAUAUCUAUGACAUAUUGUUGUUAGUUUGGUGCAUGCAUCUUAUAAGUUUUUGGACCAAUACAUAGGAAUGCAGUGUAAGGGAAAUUUUACCUCGGGCCAACGGCUGGGGUAUAUGAGGUACAUUUUGAUCGACAUUAAGCAGUGUUGUUGAAGCCUGUUUCUUCUCACGGGCCUCACGCCGUCUUUUAAGGAUAUCAUCUUUAUUGCGUGCAUAGUACUCUCUGUUCCUCUGCCUCUUCAAUUCUUUGGGGUCUGCAUAAGUAGAUACCGCAAGUUAGGAUAUAAGUACAUACCGCAAGUUAGGAUAUAAGCACCAACAAAUACAGUAUGACAUUUUUAGGAAAAGGCUGACGAUAAUUACCCAAUAGUCGGUUGUUACUUAGAUCCUGAAAUGGGGUGCGCGCUCCCGCACUCUUGGGAGAUGACAUACCCUUGGCCUACAUAUGAAUAUUGCUAUCAUAAAAAAUUGGGAAGUUGAUAAUGUGCUUCAUCAAAGCCGUAUUUACAUUAUUAAUAGGAAGUUGUAAUGACAGGUCUCCUUGCAGGACCACUCUCAGUGGUUGGCCCUCCUGUUCACUUACACAAAAACAGAAGGCAGAAGAUGAUAUUGGCCCUGCUGUUGAGCCGCAAACAUAGAAUGUUGCUUUGGCAGGUACAGAAAUUGUGAUUUAUUGGUGCGGAAAUUAACUUUUAUUCUUUAUCCUGACGUAUCUACUUGGGACAAUGAAGCUAUAUUUUUUAUCCCCACUGCUAGAUGUAAUCUAAAAUAUGAAUUGCUAUUUUAGUUCACGCCAGGUAUAGGACAUAGGAUGCAUGUGUCAGUUAGGCUGGAAAUCGCUACAGAUGUGUAGUAUUGUGUUGUGCACAUGUGUAUAUUUUAGAACUAUAUAUUCUGAAAAUUACAAUUCUGAGUAUUGCUGCAACAGGUCAAUAAACAUUAGCUACAGAUGUGUAGUAUUGUGAUGUGCACAUGUUUAUAUUUUAGAAUUAUAUAUUCUGAAAAUUACAAUUCCGAGUAUUGAUUCAACAGGUCAAAGGAAGAAGCAGGUCGAAGGAAGAAGUUUAGACUAAAGACAUGGUUUGUUCUCUCCUAACCUCUCCCUCUAAGGGGAUAAGAGCGGCUAUAGUUUGUCCCCUCCCUUUGUCGUCAAGAUAGUCUCACCAAGUUUACAAACACCUUAAUUUCUUAUCAACGCAUACAACUCCAUUUAAAAUAAAAUCAGGCAACCAAGUAUGCAGAUGGUUAUGACUUCAUCAGAAAGUAAGUAGGCAUCACAUGCACUUGCAACCUGUUUUUUACAGUUGUCAAUUGAUCAAGUGCCUUGGAGCUUAAUUAUCUAGAAUGGACAGUCAAGGUAAUGGCCCUGAGGGUAUGGUGCGAACAUAUUGGCACAUAUGUUAAUGAAGUAAGUAAAAGAAUAAUGUUCAUAUGGAUUACAUUUACAAAUAACUUCGAAACCACAACUCUAAAAUAUGAAUGGCUAUUUUAGUUCACACCAGGUCUAGGACAUAGGAUGCAUGUAUCAGUUAGGCUGGAAAUCGAUACAGAUGUGUAGUAUUGUGAUGUGCACGCGUGUAUAUUUUAGAACUAUAUAUUGUGAAAAUAACAAUUUGGAGUAUUGAUGCAACAGGUCAAAGGAAGAAGCAGGUCGAAGGAAGAAGUUUAGACUAAAGUGGAGAGAAGAAUUUUACAGAUGCGUGUAUCCGGCUGGCUGCGACGGGCAGGGCGGGCUGUACCAGUGGGGAUCUCCCGUAGGGAUGCCACG
rnacentral:lncRNA from 1 species